GGCUAGUAGCUCAGCUGGUUAGAGCACAUCACUCAUAAUGAUGGGGUCACAGGUUCGAAUCCCGUCGUAGCCACCA
rnacentral:tRNA from 1 species